AUUCGUCACCAUAAAUUCAAAGCUCACGGAAAAUACCAAUCGAGAAUUAAAGAGAGAGAAUCAAAGAAUAAAUAAAUAAAAAUAUUAUCAAAAUAUUAACCUCAAUUCAGGCAAAAGAGUCAGAUUCCAAAACAUUGUUUGUUCUUCGUUCAAUUAGGUUCCGAUUGUUCUAUUCACAAAUCUAGAAAAAUCUGGUAUUUGGUGGUUUUGUUUUGGAGUAAUGAACGAGCAAGGGAAAAAAAUGAUGAAUCAACAACAACAAAGGAUGAGUAUGAGUCAACAAAACCAAAUGAUAAGUAUGAGUCAACAACCACCUCAGAUCUUGAAUCCACAGCUUCAACAGCAACAACAGCAGCUUGCUCCACAGAUGAUGAAUCGGAGCUACCGGAUGUGGCCGCAGCCGCCUUUGCCUCCUCCGCCUCAAAACACUAACCCUAAUUUGAAGCAAUUUGUUACUGGAAAGCAGCAUCCGAAACCCUUAGGUCCUCGAAACAAUUGGAAGGGUAAAAAGGUAAAUAAGAGGAAUGAGAUUGGAACUAGUGGUAGUAGUACUACUGUUGGAGGAUAUAAGCCGCCUACGUUAAACGAUUUGCAACAGCAAAACAGAUUAAAGGCUCGGAGGUUUUUCCCUAAGAAGAAAUAUUAUCAUCAUAAUAAUAAUAAUAAUAACAGGACUGCACCCUAUGCGCCUCGGAACACGUCUUCGUAUAUCAUUAGGGCGAAAAAGAGUGGUGGGAUUGCGUCAUUGGUGUCGCCGGGCCCUGUUACUCCGUCUGUGCUGCCUACGCCAAUGUUUUCUCCGUCAAGGGAAGUGUUAGUAGAUAUGGCUAAAGAGGAGUGGGGGGUUGAUGGGUAUGGAUCGAUGAAUGGGUUGAUUAGACUGAGGUCGCCGGGAGGAAAUGAGGAUGAGGAAGAAGAGGAUGGAGGAUCGAGUGAGAGUGACGUGGAGGAACACGUGGAGGUGGAGAGGCGGUUGGAUCAUGAUUUGAGUAGGUUUGAGAUGAUUUACCCAAAUUAUAGUAGCGGGAUGGAAUAUAACAAUGUGUUGGGUAACCGUGUGGAUGAUCAGGAUACACAUAUUGCUCAAUUGGAGGAGGAGAACUUGAUUUUGAAGGAUAGAUUGUUCUUGAUGGAGAGGGAGUUGGGUGAUUUGAGGAGGAGGUUGCAUGGUCUCGAGAGGCGGGGUCAUGGUUAUGAUGAGAUGAAUGAGGAGGUAGUGGAGAAUGAGUCUGAGAGCGAGAGUGAGAGUCAUGGGGACGGUCAUUCUUUGGAGGAUAACAACGUUGAGCUCGAAGGUGUUGGGAAUGUAAGAGGAAAGGAAGAGAAUAGGAUUGAGGAUGAUGCAGAGUUUGUAGAAAAUGAAGAGAUAGUUGGAAAAGAAGGUGAACAGGUUAAUGCUAGUGGUAUUGAUGAAGCUGUUGAAAAGCAAUCAAAUGAAGUCAGAAAAGAAGAUGAAGAAGUUGAUGGAAAUGCUAUGGAUGAAGUCCUUAAAAAGGAAAUCGUUGCUGAUGUUGGAAGCAAGAGUGAACUGAACGACGAUGCAGAUGGGAAAACUGGGAAUGAGGUUCAGUUUACUGAAUUGAACAAGAACACCGAAAACAGGGUUCAGGCAUCAGAUAAUGCAAGUGUUGAAGAUGUUACUAUGGAGUAGACUUCUAGAGUGGACGCUGAUGCGAUUUCCAAGACAAAGAAAGAGGAUGAAGUGCCAGGACAUGAAUGAUCAGGGAAGAGCAUUUGCAAUGGUAACUUGUCUAAGUUUCCCUCGUCAAUCAAACAAAUGGAUGAUUCGACUACAGGGCAUAAUUUGGUAUACCUCAGCUCUCUAAACUGUAAACCUUCAACCAGAUUUUAUUAAAUAGUACCAUAUAAUAGAGCAUCCGGGAAUGUUAAUGCGUAAGUUGGAAUUCUUGGUUAUCAACUCUAGCUGGAGGUUAGGUGUUACUGUUUAUUCUUUCUUUUUUCUUUUUUCUUUUUUCUUUUAAAUCUUUUUGGGAUAUGCACGAAUCUGCUAUUAAUAUUCAGUGGUAUUACUCUUUUUAAAAGAAAAUGACCAUUUGCUUGCUAGCAAAUAAGUUCUUUACUGUUUGUUUCAUCUAUAUAGUUGACCACUGACUUCUGCAGCUGAAAGAGACGGAAGAUUUGAGAACUUCCACGCUCUGGUGCGUUCUUGCAUCAAUGUGUGGUGAUGGCUUAUUCUUAUUAGCCUCCAAUUAAUGUCUGGUUCUCUUUGUACAUCGCCAACACUACCCAACCAGUCAGCGGUGUGGUACAAAGGUUUUGAUAUAGUUCAGCUUUAAUUAGAUCUCCUUGUCUCCUCGUGACUGUCAAUAUUAUUUGUUUCUAAAUGUUGCAACCACUUUCACUUGUUGGGAUAGUAUCACCUUUCAUGAUUUCGUUCCUCCAUAAGUAUAACUGUUAGCUGCUGUGAUUAUCAUGAGGUGAGCAGGAUGCUUCCUUAUUAUUCCUCCAUUUAUUUUCAUCUAUAUAUAGGAUCAGUUGGUUGCCCGUCAACCCCUGACAAGCGCCAACAAGUACGCUCCUCUUUGCUGACGCGAAUGCCUAAUCUCUUGAUUGGGACCAACCCCUCAUUGAGAUGUUUCUUUAUUCUUUAGUUUCUCUUGGCUCGUUCUUUCGUUUGAGUAAUAAAGAUUAACUCUGUGAUCUAUUAUGUUUUAUCUAAUGGCAGUAGAGGUGAUGCCCUAUUGCUGGUGACAGAAAAGCAGGGGCGGUGGUGAUGUUAUUUGUCCUCUGCUGCAUUUGUUGAGUUUGCUACAGAACAUGCAUGUCACUAUAAUUGUGAAGAUCUAACACUGUUUAGUGUACAGUAUGUAUUGAUGCUGCUAAGUUGUUUAGUGGUGUCAUUUUUUUUAUUUGCGUUUGUUGCAGUAGGAUAUUUGGUUCAUUUUAUGAUUCAUUUCUUUUCAGGUGCUUCAUCUGCUUUAAUCCUUGUUA